UACAGAGGGGGCAAGGCGUUUGUUUCGGAAUUACUGGGCGUAAAGGGCGCGUAGGCGGCCCGCUAAGUCGAACGUGAAAUCCCCGGGCUUAACCCGGGAACUGCGUCCGAUACUGGCAGGCUUGAAUCCGGGAGAGGGAUGUGGAAUUCCAGGUGUAGCGGUGAAAUGCGUAGAUAUCUGGAGGAACACCGGGUGGCGAAGGCGGCAUCCUGGACCGGUAUUGACGCUGAGGCGCGAAAGCUAGGGGAGCAAACGGG
rnacentral:rRNA from 1 species